CCUACGGGAGGCUGCAGUGAGGAAUAUUGGUCAAUGGGCGCGAGCCUGAACCAGCCAAGUAGCGUGAAGGAUGACUGCCCUACGGGUUGUAAACUUCUUUUAUAAAGGAAUAAAGUGAGGCACGUGUGCCUUUUUGUAUGUCCUUUAUGAAUAAGGAUCGGCUAACUCCGUGCCAGCAGCCUCGGUAAUACGGAGGAUCCGAGCGUUAUCCGGAUUGAGUGGGUUGAAAGGGAGCGUAGAUGGGUUGUUACGUCAGUUUGGAAAGUUUGCGGCUCAACCGUAAAAUUGCAAUUGAUACUGGCAGUCUUGAGUACAGUUGAGGUAGGCGGAAUUCGUGGUGUAGCGGUGAAAUGCUUAGAUAUCACGAAGAACUCCGAUUGCGAAGGCAGCUUACUAAACUGCCACUGACAUUGAUGCUCGAAAGUGUGGGUAUCAAACAGGAUUAGAUACCCGAGUAGUC
rnacentral:rRNA from 1 species